rnacentral:rRNA from 1 species
UACGGGGCGCACCAGUCGCGAAAACUUUGCAAUACACGAAAGUGUGACAGGGUCAUCCCGAGUGCCAUCCGCUGAGGGUGGCUUUUACCCAGUCUAGGAAGCUGGGAGAAUAAGGAGAGGGCAAGUCUGGUGUCAGCCGCCGCGGUAA